GUGCCUGAAUCUUCUGCUCUAGCUCCUCCUCUCUAAUCCUUGCUACCUGGGUGAGAGUGCUUUUUUGAAUGCAAUGCACCUGGGCAAGGAUUCAGAGAGGGGGCGCU
rnacentral:pre_miRNA from 1 species